AUAUUAAUAAGCGGAGGAAAAGAAACUAACAAGGAUUCCCCUAGUAACGGCGAGUGAAGCGGGAAGAGCUCAAAGUGAAAACCGGCGCGCUUAGCGGCGUGUUCGGGUUGUAGCCUAGAGAUGCACUAUCAGCGUGCGACCCGGGUAUAAAUCUUUUGGAACAAGGUGUCAGAGAGGGUGAGAACCCCCGUCUUUUGUCCCGGAGUUCGCCGCGUACGAUGUGUACUCAUCGAGUCGAGUUGUUGGGGAUUGCAACUCUAAAUGGGUGGUAACUUUCAUCUAAAGCUAAAUACUUGCGAGAGACCGAUAGCGAACAAGUACCGUGAGGGAAAGAUGAAAAGAACUUUGAAAAGAGAGUUAAAAAGUACUUGAAAUUGUUAAGAAGGAAGUGAUGGUAACCAGUGACUGCGCUGGUGCGGAUUGCCUUGGCCGCUGGUUGCGCGGGCGGCGGGUCGGUUCCUUUUUUGGUCCGAGCCGUCGUUCGUCGUUGCUUCUGGUGCCUGGGUUCCUCCGUGCCGGAUUGCGUGUCAGCAUCGGUACGCCCCUGCGGGAGAAAGCUUGGUGGAAGGUAGGGCGGGCACAUACCUCCGCGUGUGUGUCUGCCUGCAUUAUAGACACCAGGCCUAUACCGUGAGGUGGACCGAGGAACUCAAAUUUUCUAGCGCCGGCCGUCAAGGCCUUCGGCCCCGGGUGGCCUGCUGCGUAGCAU
rnacentral:rRNA from 1 species